UACGAAGGGGGCUAGCGUUGUUCGGAAUCACUGGGCGUAAAGGGCGCGUAGGCGGCUUUAUAAGUCGGGGGUGAAAGCCUGUGGCUCAACCACAGAAUUGCCUUCGAUACUGUAGAGCUUGAGACCGGAAGAGGUAAGUGGAACUGCGAGUGUAGAGGUGAAAUUCGUAGAUAUUCGCAAGAACACCAGUGGCGAAGGCGGCUCACUGGCCCGGUACUGACGCUGAGGCACGAAAGCGUGGGGAGCAAACAGG
rnacentral:rRNA from 1 species